AACGACCACCCAGGGCCGGAAAGUUAUCCGAACUCGGUCAUUUAGAGGAAGUAAAAGUCGUAACAAGGUCUCCGUUGGUGAACCAGCGGAGGGAUCAUUAUAGAGUUUAAAUCAAGCUCAAAACCCUUCUGUGUACCGUCAAAACGUUGCCUCGGCGGGCUCUCCGCCCGCCGGUGGCCGCAACCAAAACCCUUCCAUAUAACAUGAGUCUGAGUGGACAAAACAAAAUAAGUCAAAACUUUCAGCAACGGAUCUCUUGGCUCUGGCAUCGAUGAAGAACGCAGCGAAAUGCGAUAAGUAAUGUGAAUUGCAGAAUUCAGCGAAUCAUCGAAUCUUUGAACGCACAUUGCGCCCGCUGGUACUCCGGCGGGCAUGCCUGUCCGAGCGUCGUCAAAACCCCCUCCGGCGCGAUCCUCCCUCAACGGGGAGGCUUCGCCGCCGGGUGUUGGGGCACCGCCCGACCCACGUCGGUCCCGCGGGCCCUCAAAUGCAGCGGCGGACGCCCUCGAGCCCCCCAGCGCAGUAGCUUUGCCCUCGCUGACGGUGGCCGUGAGCUGUCCCUAGCCCCCCCAGCGGAAGCCCCUAGCCGGGCUGACGCGACCCCCCUCAUCAAGUUUGACCUCGGAUCAGGUAGGACUACCCGCUGAACUUAAGCAUAUCAAUAAGCGGAGGAAAAGAAACCAACAGGGAUUGCCUCAGUAACGGCGAGUGAAGCGGCAACAGCUCAAAUUUGAAAUCUGGCCUCGGCCCGAGUUGUAAUUUGCAGAGGAUGCUUCUGGCAACGUGCCUUCCGAGUCCCCUGGAACGGGGCGCCGGAGAGGGUGAGAGCCCCGUACGGUUGGACGCCGCGCCUGUGUGAAGCUCCUUCGACGAGUCGAGUAGUUUGGGGAUAACAGACUC
rnacentral:rRNA from 1 species